UUCCCCCGUUAAUGCCCCGCGCCCCCGCUCCCCCCUUUCACCAGGUGGUAAAAAGCACCGGUGGAAGGAAGGAAGGAUGGAACGUCGAACCAGGCAUGGAAUCAUCAUCGUCAGGUUCUAUAUUGUUAUCGUCUUCGCCGUCAGGUGUGUGUGAAGCCAGCCAGCCCCUCUCUCCCUCUAAUUUGCUUCGUUUUUGGAAAGGACACCAUAAUCUUCUUUGGUUGCUUCAACCAGCUGGAAAUGCAACCAUAGAAAUCAUCAAGGGAGGGAAAUGCAACCCAUCCCCGCUCCAAACUCUGAUAUAUUUCCAAUAGCACUCUGUUUCAAUUGGCUACUUUACUUUACUAACAUGUUAUGGAUGGAUGAAUAUGACCUCUCAACGAGGAAGGAAGCUUCAUGAAUACCAUUUACAACUUUGUGCCCUCACUCCCCCCAGAAGGAACAACAAGGGGCUUAUUCCUUCUGAACUUGUGGUCACAGAAAGCUAAUGGCAUCUAUACUAUCUAUAAGCAGGAAAGAGAUCUAUGCUUCUUGUGAGGGAGAAUAUUGGCUUCAAGAAUGCAUCCAGGUAGCUAUGCUUCGUACUAAGUAUAUCAUGGUGUACUGAGUUGAUGAUUUUAAAUAAACAUGAUCUACAUGAUUUGGAUCUAUGGUAUUUGGCCAAUAUUCUUUAAGCCAAAUUACCUAACAUGUAAGAAAACCAUGAUCUACAUAUUAAAUAAAUUUAAUAAUCAACAACGAUAUUACCAUGAUCUAAAAUGAAAUGUACAUAAGCAUUGAUAUCUAUCUAUUGUAAAUAUCUAUUGUAAAACGUACUUUAUAGAUAUCUUUUUCUAUGAAAACGUACAAUCCUCUAACAUAAUAAACCUACUUACGCUAACAAACUUAAUUGUGUAUAGUACUUUAUAGAUAUGCUUCUUCCGCAUUUGGAAGAAGCAUGGUACUGAUUUUUAAUUGAGUUGUAUGUUGAUCAUGGUUCUGAUUUCUUAUUUUAGUGUUAUAGUGUUCUAAUUUAUUACUAUAAUUUUUCACUUUCACAUUUGUUGUUGUUAUAGUGCCUUCUUUUCACAUUCGACGAUGA